ACGAACGCUGGCGGCGUGCUUAACACCUGCAAGUCGAACGGAAAGGCCCUGCUUUUGUGGGGUGCUCGAGUGGCGAACGGGUGAGUAACACGUGAGUAACCUGCCCUUGACUUUGGGAUAACUUGAGGAAACUGGGGCUAAUACCGGAUAGGAGCUCCUGCUGCAUGGUGGGGGUUGGAAAGUUUCGGCGGUUGGGGAUGGACUCGCGGCUUAUCAGCUUGUUGGUGGGGUAGUGGCUUACCAAGGCUUUGACGGGUAGCCGGCCUGAGAGGGUGACCGGCCACAUUGGGACUGAGAUACGGCCCAGACUCCUACGGGAGGCAGCAGUGGGGAAUAUUGCACAAUGGGCGGAAGCCUGAUGCAGCAACGCCGCGUGCGGGAUGACGGCCUUCGGGUUGUAAACCGCUUUCGCCUGUGACGAAGCGUGAGUGACGGUAAUGGGUAAAGAAGCACCGGCUAACUACGUG
rnacentral:rRNA from 1 species